rnacentral:rRNA from 1 species
GACGAACGCUGGCGGCGUGCUUAACACAUGCAAGUCGAACGGAAAGGCCCUGCUUUUGUGGGGUGCUCGAGUGGCGAACGGGUGAGUAACACGUGAGUAACCUGCCCUUGACUUUGGGAUAACUUCAGGAAACUGGGGCUAAUACCGGAUAGGAGCUCCUGCUGCAUGGUGGGGGUUGGAAAGUUUCGGCGGUUGGGGAUGGACUCGCGGCUUAUCAGCUUGUUGGUGGGGUAGUGGCUUACCAAGGCUUUGACGGGUAGCCGGCCUGAGAGGGUGACCGGCCACAAUGGGACUGAGAUACGGCCCAGACUCCUACGGGAGGCAGCAGUGGGAAGUAUUGCACAAUGGGCGGAAGCCUGAUGCAGCAGCGCCGCGUGCGGGAAAACGGCCUUCGGGUUGUAAACCGCUUUCGCCUGUGACGAAGCGUGAGUGACGGUAAUGGGUAAAGAAGCACCGGCUAACUACGUG